rnacentral:rRNA from 1 species
GACGAACGCUGGCGGCGUGCUUAACACAUGCAAGUCGAACGGGCCCGCUCUCUUUUUUGGGGGUGGGUUGAGUGGCGAACGGGUGAGUAUCACGUGAGUAACCUGCCCCCUGCUCCUGGAUAACUGCUUGAAAGGGCGGCUAAUACGGGGUGUGCCGGCUGGUCCGCAUGGGCCUGGUCAGGAUAGUUUCAUCUUCGGGUGUUUCGGUGGGGGAUGGGCUCGCGGCCUAUCAGCUUGUUGGUGGGGUGAUGGCCCACCAAGGCGGUGACGGGUAGCCGGCCUGAGAGGGUGGGCGGCCACACUGGGACUGAGACACGGCCCAGACUCCUGCGGGAGGCAGCAGUGGGGGGUAUUGCGCAAUGGGCGGAAGCCUGAUGCAGCGACGUCGCGUGAGGGAUGGAGGCCUUCGGGUUGUGAACCUCUUUCUCCGGUGGUGAAGGCCCUGUCCGUUGCGGCGGGGUUGACGGUAGCCGGGUAUGAAGCGCCGGCUAACUACGUG